GUCUUUUAGCAUGCAAUGCAGGGGGACAGUGGUUGCACCACCCGUGCGAGAUUUAUUUGUAUCAGAUGUCCACGGAAGAGAUUAUAUAUUUGUGCUUCAUGCUGAUGGGGCACUACAUGUCUGGGAUACUUUGACUUAUAGCAGGGUUUUAUGUCAGAGUACGAGUAUAGUUGCUAGAAACGUUGAGGGGUUUAUGUGCCUGAGGUUGUGGUUGGGCAGAGCUGGUUACGGUUUUGGUUUUGACUAGGGUUACGAUUUUAGCUGUCCUGUAUAGAAAGAGUGUGGAUGUCAGCAUGGACGUGAUCACUGUAUAUGCCCUGCACAUUUUCUCUGAGAAGGGAAUAGUAGCUUUCACUAUAGAUUCUGGAUUACAGAAUAUCCCACUGGAAGGGGGGAGAUUGCGUGAUGUCAGAUUUUCAUCUGACAAUAUCUGGAUUCUAAAGGCUGAUAAAUUGACAUCUCACAUGUUAUACCAUAAAUCUAGCACCAUGGAAGCACAGUCUUACACUUUGCAGGAAGACUACAUUUCUGAACACCUAUUUCUGAGUUCUCGGAGCUCUUCACAUGACCUUCUUUUGACAACUCAUUCACUGUUUUCAUCCGCAAAGGUCUUUAUCCUAAAACAUAGCUUUCAUUUCGUUGAACAAAAUUUUCAAUGUAAUAUAUUUUAUGCUGUGAAACAAUAUUUUAAUUUGUUUGUAGUCCAUCUCUACACAAGUUACCCAUA